rnacentral:rRNA from 1 species
GUCCGCACCGUAAACGAUGAAUGCUCGUUAUUGGCGAUAUAUAGUCAGUGACAAAGCGAAAGCGUUAAGCAUUCCACCUGGGGAGUACGCCGGCAACGGUGAAACUCAAAGGAAUUGACGGGGGCCCGCACAAGCGGAGGAACAUGUGGUUUAAUUCGAUGAUACGCGAGGAACCUUACCCGGGCUUGAAUUGCGGUGGAUUUAUGUGGAAACAUGUAAUCUCUUCGGAGCCGCCGUGAAGGUGCUGCAUGGUUGUCGU